AUACGUAGGGUGCAAGCGUUAAUCGGAAUUACUGGGCGUAAAGCGUGCGCAGGCGGUUCGGAAAGAAGGAUGUGAAAUCCCGGGGCUCAACCUUGGAACUGCAUUCUUAACUACCGAACUAGAGUAUGUCAGAGGGGGGUAGAAUUUCGCGUGUAGCAGUGAAAUGCGUAGAUAUGCGGAGGAAUACCGAUGGCGAAGGCAGCCCCCUGGGAUAAUACUGACGCUCAUGCACGAAAGCGUGGGUAGCAAACAGGAUUAGAUACCCUGGUAGUCCACGCCCUAAACGAUGUCAACUAGCUGUUGGGCCCUUCGGGGCUUAGUAGCGUAGCUAACGCGUGAAGUUGACCGCCUGGGGAGUACGGUCGCAAGAUUAAAACUCAAAGGAAUUGACGGGG
rnacentral:rRNA from 1 species